rnacentral:rRNA from 1 species
GACGAACGCUGGCGGCGUGGAUUAGGCAUGCAAGUCGAACGGUAUCAUCCUUCGGGGGUGAGAGAGUGGCGAACUGGUGAGUAACACGUAGGUUAUCUACCCUCAAGACGGGACAACCCAGGGAAACUUGGGCUAAUACCGGAUGUGAGCAACUUUUAGUUGUUUGAAAGGUGGCGUAAGCUGUCGCUUGGGGAUGAGCCUGCGUCCUAUUAGUUAGUUGGUGAGGUAACGGCUCACCUAGGCAAUGAUAGGUAGGCGGCCUUAACGGGUGGUCGCCCACACUGGGAUUGAGAUACGGCCCAGACUCCUACGGGAGGCAGCAGUCGAGAAUAGUCUACAAUGGUCGGAAGACUGAUAGUGCGACGCCGCGUGAACGAUGAAUCCCUUCGGGGUGUAAAGUUCUUUUAUAUGUGAGCAGUGCUUCUUAUAUUAACAGUAUGGGGAGAGAGAUAUUAGCAUAUGAAUAAGCAACGGCUAACUCUGUG